rnacentral:misc_RNA from 1 species
AACGCACCUUGCACCCUUUGGCAUUCCGAAGGGUAUGCUCGUUUGAGUGUCAUUGUACUCUCACACUCCCAAUUGCUUUAGAUUGGGAGCGGCGGACUUGGGUGUUGCUGCUUGACUGUGGCUCACCUGAAAUAUGUUAGUGCAUCUCUUGAUUGGACAUAGUACGGCGUGAUAAGUGUCUUCGCCGGCUCCUCGCAGAGAGGGUGGCCGAUCGGGAGCUCUGUUGCUUCAAACUGUCCUCGGACAAUCUUCUGGCGACUUGACCUCAAAUCGAGUAGGACUACCCGCUGAACUUAA